AGGUAUAAAAGGAAAUCUCAUCUUGGUAAAAAGACAGCUAUAUCUUAUUAUAUAAAGUAUGGAUUUCAAAGUUGCUAACUCAUAUAAUUGUUACACAUGUCAAGUCAAACGAUCAGAUGUUUACAUGUGUCAUUCAAAAUUUAACUUUUUUAUUCUCUAAAAAAAAUUGAAAA
rnacentral:sRNA from 1 species